GCAUAAUGAUCUCUCAACUGUCUCAACACUAGACUCGGUGAAAUUAUGGUCCCAGUGAAAACGCUGGGUUCCCGCAUCAAGACGAGAAGACCCCAUGGAGCUUUACUGUAGUUUGAUAUUGAGUACCUGUAAGUCAUGUACAGGAUAGGUAGGAGCCAUUGAAAUAGGGACGCUAGUUUCUAUUGAGGCGUUGUUGGGAUACUACCCUUGACUUAUGGUUACUCUAACCCGCUGGCAUAAUCGGCCAGGGAGACAGUGUCUGACGGACAGUUUGACUGGGGCGGUCGCCUCCUAAAGAGUAACGGAGGCGCUCAAAGGUUGGCUCAGAUUG
rnacentral:rRNA from 1 species